GCUCUGGGGAGAUGAUCCACAGGUCACCUGCCACUGGCUGUACCUCCAUUUUCUGACCUUCCUAAGACAUUCCUGGACCCACUCGCUCCAUGCUGAGGCCUCUUGAGCCAAGAGCUCUUUUGGUUGGAAAAUCAGCUCCAAACAUAUGGGGCCCCUCCUGCCUUGCCAACUCUCUGGCUAGUGAGGUCGUCUCCAAGGACCCCAGCUCCAGCAGAGGGCCAGAGAAUCCCCCUCAGAAGUUUCAUGGCUGAGAGGCAUGUGUGCUCAUUGAGAGGACAAACGAGCUGGUGACUCACACCAGGCUUGGAGCUGUGGUCACAGUUUUCUUUGGUUUCAGCUUUGAGAGAAAGAGACCAAAUCCCAUUUAACACUUCUGUACUUGGCGCUGUGCUGACAUGGCCACUGCCCUUCCUCAGGGGGAGACACAGGUGGGUGCAGGGGUCAGGCAAUCAGGGAGUGAGUGCAGGAGCUGGGGUGCUGGGGGAGGCCCAGACCCACCUUGGGUCUGCCUGGAAGAACUGGAGCAGAAAAGCCAGGCUGGGAAGUUCCAGGAAGCUGUGGGCAUCUUUGAUAGAAAGGGAAGCUUCAGAUGCAGCCAUGGCCUGGGGUAUUCAAUAUUAAGAUGGAAUGAGGAAGGCCUGUUGAGAGGCAAGGAGGAAGAAGGCAGGCCUCACAGGGCUAAGAGGGGCUGGCAAAGAGCUCUGCUGUUAUUCACAAAUCAGUGGGGAGCCUUUGCAAGGUCUGAAAUGAGUGUGGACUGUCCAUGAAGAAAGCCUUUCUGAGGGUAUGAAGAACCUGGGCAUCGGAGAUGGGUCUGGCAUCCCUGCUCCCGACCUUGGCCUCUAGGGUUGCCAGGACCCCUUGGCCGGCGGACGCAGAGGCGAAGCGCAAGAAGUGCCAAGGCACCCCACGUGCUGAAAGGCCCACCCGGCUGGGGCCAGAGUCGGAGAGUUCUGCCCAGGUUACGGAGCUAAACAAAGGAACCCGCCCAUCUAACCCAGUCCUGACUGAAACUUCAGGGCAAAGCCUCGAGAUGUGCGGUUAUCUUUCCCGGAAGUCAGGUGUCCAGGAACCCCAAACAGUGCGGAUGCUGACGGCGUUAGCAAGACCCGUGCUGGGGCGCUCAGCACACCGCUCACGCGGUUCCUAUGGACCCUGGCCCCGCCGUCCAGGCCGAGGGAGUAGCUCUUCCGAGUCGCAGUCCCAGCUCCUGGGUCCGGUGCAAACUCGCUGCAGACACGUACAUUUCUCUAACGCACGGCGGACCGGGUUCCCCGCGUCCAGGCCCAAAGCUCGCCUACAAAAGAGCAACUCUUGGCGUUGGAGGUCCAAUCGAACCUGUGAGGAAUUCUUAUCCGGCAGUCGGCUUUGAGCGCACUGGAAAUGAAGAGAGGUACAGUUGAACUGCGCAGGCUCCAGAGCUGAUCAGUCUACUUAGAAGGGAAAUCGAGCAAGCUUUUAAGCAGCGGCUCGUUGGUCUAGGGGUAUGAUUCUCGCUUAGGGUGCGAGAGGUCCCGGGUUCAAAUCCCGGACGAGCCCUCGUUUUGUUUUGUUUUUCCCCCACCUCUGGUUUCUAAAUAUUUCUCAACCAGAAAGAAUUUUCGAGAAAAAUGGCAGCCAGUACGUCACUUGCUCACUAAUUUUUAUUCG
ensembl:lncRNA